rnacentral:rRNA from 1 species
AGCUCCAAUAGCGUAUAUUAAAGUUGUUGCAGUUAAAGCUCGUAGUUGGAGUUCGGGGAAAGCUCAGUCGGUCGGCCUAAUGGGUCAGAACUGGCUGACUCUCUCUUGUUUGCGGAUCCCUCCCGGAGUUAACUCUUCAGGUUGUGGAGUCCGCAUCGUUUACCUUGAAAAUUAGAGUGUUCAAAGCAGGCGUUUGCUUGAAUAUAUUAGCAUGGAAUAAUGGAAUAGGACCCUGGUUCUAUUUUGUUGGUUUUGAGAGCCAGAGUAAUGAUUAAUAGGGAUAGUUGGGGGCAUUCAUAUUUCAUUGUCAGAGGUGAAAUUCUUGGAUUUAUGAAAGAUGAACUUCUGCGAAAGCAUUUGCCAAGGAUGUUUUCA